GGAGAGGUCGCAUAGUCCGGCCGAGUGCGCACGAUUGGAAAUCGUGUAGGCGAUGAGCCUCGCGGGUUCAAAUCCCGCCCUCUCCGCCA
rnacentral:tRNA from 1 species